rnacentral:rRNA from 1 species
UGGAUGCUAGCCGUCAGCAAGCAUGCUUGUUGGUGGCGCAGCUAACGCAUUAAGCAUCCCGCCUGGGGAGUACGGCCGCAAGGUUAAAACUCAAAGGAAUUGACGGGGGCCCGCACAAGCGGUGGAGCAUGUGGUUUAAUUCGACGCAACGCGAAGAACCUUACCAGCCCUUGACAUGCCCGGACGGUUUCCAGAGAUGGAUUCCUCCUAGCAAUAGGUCGGGACACAGGUGCUGCAUGGCUGUCGUCAG